AAAUGCAUGGCAUAGUGGUUUGACCAUUGGACCAUGACUCUGGAGACCAGGGUUCGAAUCCCUGCUUGGUCA